UGGGGAAUUUUGGACAAUGGGCGAAAGCCUGAUCCAGCAAUGCCGCGUGUGUGAAGAAGGCCUUCGGGUUGUAAAGCACUUUUGUCCGGAAAGAAAUCCUUGGCUCUAAUACAGUCGGGGGAUGACGGUACCGGAAGAAUAAGCACCGGCUAACUACGUGCCAGCAGCCGCGGUAAUACGUAGGGUGCAAGCGUUAAUCGGAAUUACUGGGCGUAAAGCGUGCGCAGGCGGUUUGCUAAGACCGAUGUGAAAUCCCCGGGCUCAACCUGGGAACUGCAUUGGUGACUGGCAGGCUAGAGUAUGGCAGAGGGGGGUAGAAUUCCACGUGUAGCAGUGAAAUGCGUAGAGAUGUGGAGGAAUACCGAUGGCGAAGGCAGCCCCCUGGGCCAAUACUGACGCUCAUGCACGAAAGCGUGGGGAGCAAACAGGAUUAGAUACCCUGGUAGUCCAUGCCCUAAACGAUGUCAACUAGUUGUUGGGGACUUCAUUUCCUUAGUAACGUAG
rnacentral:rRNA from 1 species